rnacentral:lncRNA from 1 species
AUUUUGUAAUAGUAGACUGUAAUCAUUUAAUUUAUAGGUCAAUUAUCUUCUUACUCUUUUCUUCCUACAGUUUCUUCCCGAUGGUUGGAGCCUCACCAACACAACUCAGCUAUGUUAGUUGGAUAUAACUUGUGAACACAAAUGCAUUGGUAAUAUUUGCAAGAUGGACGAGAGAAGAUGAGUGAUGGGAAACUGGUAAGCAUCUUUAAAAUUACUACUACUCUUUAAGUAUUACCUUCAAGUAAGCACCAAAAAUUCUUUAGAAUUCUUGUUAGUAAACGAUUUUACAUAGUUAGAUGCCGAGGCUGAAUUCCUAAACAAUCUCUUACCAUUCUUAAUAAGUUUUUAGGAUAAAUGAUUUCCUACGACUCUUUUCUUAUAUCUCCAAAAACGUCAUAAAAUUUUUAGAAGAUGCAGCUUAAUCAAAAACUAAAGAUUAUGUAGUGUAUUAAUAGUUCAUGUACUCAUAUUUUUCCUUUCUUGAUUAACAUAUAAGAUUCAAAGAAGUUGUAUACAUAGUAUAAUCAUCAAAAGUUGAAAAAAAAGUAAUCUUUGUUAGUAACAAAGAGAUGAGAAAUGUACCCCGGACUCAAGAACUAUAAUGGAAUAUAAGAUGAGUUUUGAUUUAUCCUUUUUCUUAAAGAUUUAUGUUUAAAUAUUUAAACAAUUCCUUGUUUCCAUGGAUGAGAAUAAAGAAGUUACUUUAAAAUUAGGCACUUCUUCUGCUUUCUUUUAUUUUAAAUGAAGAACAAUUGAGGAAGAACAAUAAGGGUACUGAGUUGGAAUAUCACCGCAAGAAUUUUUGUAGAUUCUUCAUUGAGCUUCUAUGAUGCUAAAAACAUGAAGUGAAAGAAAAAUUAAAAAGAAAAAGAAAAAGUUGAUGUCUGAGACUAGGUCACUGGUAUCUCUUUGUUGGUUUUGAAGUAUGUGUGUUUCACCAGUGAAAGAGUCUUGACCUGGUAGCAAGAAUUGCUGGAUGGAAGGGUUAUCAGUUGUUGUGUGCUACUCCAUUAUAUUUAUUUAUAAUUGCCAAAUUACCUGCUAUGAAUACAUUCAUUUGGCUAUAGUAGUUCUGCUACAUGCUAAUAUAGUACUAAUAUUAUUUGGUAUGAAAUUAAAUGCUAAUAGCUAAAUGAAAGUCUUAAUUUAUUUUACCAUAUGCAAAGAAGUUGCUUUCAUUAGUUGACAAAGAUUUGAUUUAUGGCUCUACAAAUUGUUGUUAACCAUUGAAUUGGUAUCUUAAACUCGAACAUCAAACUUAGUGUCUUGACUUAUGACCUAUAAUAGUAUAUUGGUUAUCAAAUAAUCUUGUGGGUGACAUUAUGGAUAAGUGUGCUGGAUAAUUGAACAAUAUGUCAGAUGUUUUCUCUAGUGUUAGUAGUAAUUGAACAUCUUUUAUCAAUAUAUUAGAAUCCGUUACCUUCUCAAAAAAAAAAGAAAGUAAUAUGACAUUGAGAAAGUGUUUUCUUUUUCUUAUUCAUACUUGCUGAAUACCGUUGUGCUUAUUAAAUUUGUAAGUGAAGCAAAUGAACAAACGGAAGAAGAAAGCUGUGAAGAACUUAUAAUAGUAUUGGUUGAUCGUUGCUAGACCUUCAAAUGUUGUAGGAACCUUUGAUUUUUAAAUGUUUUUGCAAACUUAUGUAUGCUGACUCUUGG